AGCCUUUCGAAAGGGAGAUUAAUACCGCAUAAGACAGUAGCUGGGCAUCCAGCAGCUGUUAAAGAUUUAUCGAUGUAAGCUGGGCAUGCGUCCAAUUAGCUAGUUGGUGAGGUAAUGGCUCACCAAGGCUAUGAUUGGUAGGGGAACUGAGAGGUCAAUCCCCCACACUGGCACUGAGAUACGGGCCAGACUCCUACGGGAGGCAGCAGUAGGGAAUAUUGGGCAAUGGACGCAAGUCUGACCCAGCCAUGCCGCGUGCAGGAUGAAGGCGUUAUGCGUUGUAAACUGCUUUUAUACAGGAAGAAACGACUCUUGCGAGAGGCAUUGACGGUACUGUAUGAAUAAGCACCGGCUAACUCCGUGCCAGCAGCCGCGGUAAUACGGAGGGUGCAAGCGUUGUCCGGAUUUAUUGGGUUUAAAGGGUGCGCAGGUGGUUUAUUAAGUCAGUGGUGAAAGACGGUCGCUCAACGAUUGCAGUGCCAUUGAAACUGGUAGACUUGAGUAAAGUAGAGGUGGGCGGAAUUGAUAGUGUAGCGGUGAAAUGCAUAGAUAUUAUCAAGAACUCCAAUUGCGUAGGCAGCUCACUUGGCUUUUACUGACACUCAUGCACGAAAGUGUGGGUAUCAAACAGGAUUAGAUACCCUGGUAGUCCACACUGUAAACGAUGAUAACUAUGUGUCGGCCGAAUCUGGUCGGUGCCACAGCGAAAGCGUUAAGUUAUCCACCUGGGGAGUACGCCGGCCACGGUGAAACUCAAAGGAAUUGACGGGGGUCCCCA
rnacentral:rRNA from 1 species